UACGGGGGGGGCAAGCGUUGUUCGGAAUUACUGGGCGUAAAGGGCUCGUAGGUGGCCAACUAAGUCAGACGUGAAAUCCCCAGGCUCAACUUGGGAACUGCGUCUGAUACUGGAUGGCUUGAAUUCGGGAGAGGGAUGCAGAAUUCCAGGUGUAGCGGUGAAAUGCGUAGAUAUCUGGAGGAAUACCGGUGGCGAAGGCGGGUCUCUGGACAGUUCCUGACGCUGAGGCACGAAGGCCAGGGGAGCAAACGGG
rnacentral:rRNA from 1 species